rnacentral:lncRNA from 1 species
GACGGCUCUCUCUCUUCCUUGGUCCAAGAGUUGGAUCAGCCAUCUCUCUCCUUCUCCAUGAUCAAUCCAAGAGUUGGAUGGGAAAGAAAAGAAAAAAGAUUGGAUCUCUUGUUCUUUUUCUUUAGAUCCUCCUAUGGAUCUCUUUAAUUCUCUUGAGAAGAGAAUCAAAAGAGACAAAAGAUUUCAUAAUCUAAGAAGCAAUCUCUGUAAGGAAGCUAGCACCCCAA